GAUGAAGAACGUAGCGAAAUGCGAUAAGUAAUGUGAAUUGCAGAAUUCAGUGAAUCAUCGAAUCUUUGAACGCACAUUGCGCCCGCCAGUAUUCUGGCGGGCAUGCCUGUUCGAGCGUCAUUUCAACCAUCAAGCCCCAGGCUUGUGUUGGGGACCUGCGGCUGCCGCAGGCCCUGAAAGCCAGUGGCGGGCUCGCUGUCACACCGGGCGUAGUAGAUUUUAUCUCGCUCAGGGCGUGCUGCGGGUUCCGGCCGUUAAAAAGCCUUUUUUACCCAAGGUUGACCUCGGAUCAGGUAGGAAGACCCGCUGAACUUAAGCAUAUCAAUAAGCGGAGGA
rnacentral:misc_RNA from 1 species